CCAGACCCUCAACUGCAGCAGAGCAACACCAUUUAAAUCAGCAAAUGUAUUUCUCCAUCUCUGUCUCACUGAUCCCCCUUUGCAAACACCUACAGUGUCAGGGCUGGGAAGGACCCACCAAGGUUCUCAAGACCAGCAUGACCACAUCAUCAAACUUUGCAUAAUUUAUCAAUUUGUGAAGACUCUUCAGUCCCUCCCUACUCAGCAGGCCCAGCAAGGUGACUCUGUUUCACAAGGGCAGUGCUUGGAUUUGGAUUGGGUGCUGGAACUUGACUUUGGGGGCAGAGGACCCUGAUAUGAGUGCUUGGUGUGAAUAUCGUGCUCCAUCCUCCAUGGCAAGGAUAUAACAGGUGUAACAGCAGUCAGGAUGCUGCCAGCAUUUUGUUCUGCGUUGUUCUGUCUGUUCAUUUCUUUGAGUUCUUUUUGUUAAGCCUUCAGCAGAAAGGCUGGGCUCUGGAAAGGGCUGCUUGGAUGCUCAUAGUCCUCUUUGUGUGACAUUCCACCCUGUGAAGAGCCCAGGAAGUACAGGCAGUACUUAAAUUUCCACACUCCACUUCCAGUCACCCCUAGAGGCUGAUUCUGCUGUGAUCCUCAGCAGGACAUCUAUGUCUCAAGCCUUGUCCUUCUGUUUACUUGUGUUUGCUUCUGCAUGCUUUGCUCCUGACCUAUUCAAUGCGUUAUUGAGCCCUGCAAUUAUUUUUCCAUUCAUUUUCUCCUUUCCUGACUCAUUUAUCUUGACCUCUUGUGCAUUGAGAUGCACCAUCUAGCCCAGUGUGGUGGAAAGUGGGAAUCUGCUGCCUUUGGAAGCCCUGCGAGCUGGGAACAGUUGUCCCCUGGAUAUGUUGCUCCAGUUCCACUCCAGAGCUUGCUCAUGCAAGAAAGUAAUUUUUGGCCUGCAUUUCUGCAAGAAGAACAAAACAGCCAGCUCAUUUUCUGUCUCCAGGCAGACUUCCCAAAGAUUAUAGGAAGAGGAUGGGCCUAGGGGCUUUCUGGCCUGGAAUGCAACAGACCAUGGGACAAACAAGAACGUUGGCACAGUCAGGUGGCUGAGUGUCCAAAACAGCCCAAAACUGCUGAGUGCCUCAGCCUACCUGCUCACUGAUGGUCCUCCUGCACCAAACUGCCUCACACCUGGGUCUAACCCCACAGUGAAAACCCAAGGGGCUGCUCUCCCUAAGGGUUUUGCUGCUUCAUUGCUUUGUGUCUGCAUUUUUUAUGAAUUUUUGAGAAAUCUGUAGCAGUGAGAGCUUUGUGCAAACAGGAGUGCACUGCAUGCCCCGAGUGCCUGGGAUGAAACAGCAUGCUCAAAGCCUCCAGCCUCAGCUGCCAGUGUCCUCAGAAGCAUAUCUUAUCCCCACUGGCUCUUUGGGAUUUUAAGGUGGCUGUUCUCAUCAGAGGGAAUCCAGCCUGUCUUUUUUUCCAGUAUUUCUAGUACAGAACAGCAUGUUCUGCUUUCCUUCUGCAGCCAGGGGGGGAAGGAGUUGGAGGAGAUGGAGUGAUGUGGCUUCUGUGAUGCUCUUUUGCCAUUCCCUUUCGUGUCUUGUUUUUUGUUUAGUUGGAAAGGCAGGGCAGGGAUGCUGGCCUUAUGUGAUGAAAAGCAGUUUUGCUAUGAGGUAACAAAAACUGCUACCCAAAAGGAAGAUUGGAACAAUGGUGAAAGAUUGGAAUUUCAAUUUCCAAAAAUUGAAAGAUGUGCCAAGAGCUAUCAAGUCAUUGCUGUCAGAGAGAUGAUCUGUCUGGUAACAUGUCAAUCUUUUCCUAAGAUAUUGAGGUUCACUUCAGCAAAAGGAAGGGUCCCAAAAUAUUUCCCUAAAAUGACAGCACAAACCAGAAGAAACAGCCAGUGAAUUCAUCAAUCUCAACAUUUAUUUUGAGAACAGCAGCAAAUUCUUGAAAGGACAGACCACCUGCAACUCCGGCUUCAUGGAAAAAGGGAUGGAGGUUCUCAGCAUUUCAUCGGAGUCAAGCCAGGAUGGGGAAAUGUUGUGAGCUGUGUCCGUCCUCCAGCCCUUCUGCUUCUCCAGCACUGUCUCUGCCUCGACAAGUUGCUUUGUGACUGUGAGCCUUCCUCAGAGAAGCUGCCACUGACCUGGCUGCUGCUGCCUGAGAGCACAGGACUACAGAGAGAACACUGCUUUUCUGUUCUCUCACCCUGUCGGAUCCCCUUGGCCAGAGGACGUGGAUCUGGCCAGAUUCCAGAGAGUGAAUGGUGGUGAUAAGGAAAAGCAGAGAGACUUUGGAAGACAAAGAUAUACUGUUACACUGGGCACCAGCGAGGAAGAACAUUAUCUUACGGAAAUUGUAUCUGAGUAAGCUCUGUAUCACCAGGAAACUUGGCAACAAUGAUGUCCAACCAUUCUGGUGCUGGGGCAGACCUGUCAGCCCCAAAUGACCUUGCUGGUGUAAAGUGAGUAAUUUAUAAUUUCUCUUUAAGCAUGACUUUUUCAGGCAGUUGCACUCUCCACCUUACAGUGAUUUCCUCUGGUGAAGGAUAUUCCUCCCUGCCAGACAUUUUAGCUCUGCCUUCCUCCAUCCAGUUCCUUAUGUCAUCACAGAAAGUGGCCUUGGGGAUCUGACAUGCUGAUGUGGGGUAUCACCUGGGUUAAGCAGAGCCCAUCUAGACCAGCUCUUUUUGUGGCAAAAUUUUUAUAACAACCAAGGCAAAACUGCUUUGCCUUUACCCACUGGGCUAAAGAACUACACUGGAUUCAUGGGAUAAGCUUUAUUCUUACAACUCCAUGUUGGCAGCUUUUCACAGGGAUGGAGCAAAUAAUUAAUUUCUUUGCAAGUAUCUUCACAGGUAUCAGAACUGCAGUGUUUGAUUUACAGUUGUGGAUCCUCCCCUCCCCUGUUUUUUAAAUACAUAAUUUAUUUUAAUAUAAAUUGCCAGGCCUAUCAUGCAGCUUACACCCACACAAACAGAUGGAAAAAUGCAGAGAAAGUUCCUGGGCACUAGGACUGAAUUCUCCCUAUCUUACGCUGUGAGAAGAGAUGUUAUUUCAGCCAGUUAGUGUCUUCCCAAAGAAUUCCUACACACCAUGCAAGAGCUGGUAGAGUCUGCAUGAGCCCAUCCUGUUUUGAAUGGCAGAAAUUUAAAAAUACAGGUACAGUCAGCUAUGCCAGUCAGCCCAGAGCAAGAUACGGGCCCCACUGUUGCUUAUUUUGUGGAUUUUUCCAAUUUUGUUUAUUUUUGAAAUUUUGUCUCACUGAUCACUGCAGAAAAAAUCCCCAAUCUUCAGAAUAUUUUCAGAUAUCUGGAAUAAUUAACCAUGACCCAUCCCUCAUAACUCCAGAGGGGUCUCCUCUGUUAAGGGGCCAGCUGUUAAAACCAG